rnacentral:rRNA from 1 species
CCUACGGGUGGCAGCAGUGAGGAAUAUUGGUCAAUGGGCGCGAGCCUGAACCAGCCAAGUAGCGUGAAGGAUGACUGCCCUAAGGGUUGUAAACUUCUUUUAUAAAGGAAUAAAGUGAGGCAUGUGUGCCUUUUUGUAUGUACUUUAUGAAUAAGGAUCGGCUAACUCCGUGCCAGCAGCCGCUGUAAUACGGAGGAUACGUGCGUUAUCCGGAUUUAUUGGGUUUAAAGGGAGCGUAGUUGGGUUGUUAAGUCAGUUGUGAAAGUAUGCGGCUCAACCGUAAAAUUGCAUUUGAUACUGGCAGCCUUGAGUACAGUUGAGGUAGGCGGAAUUCGUGGUGUAGCGGUGAAAUGCUUAGAUAUCACGAAGAACUCCGAUUGCGAAGGCAGCUUACUAAACUGCCACUGACAUUGAUGCUCGAAAGUGUGGGUAUCAAACAGGAUUAGAUACCCCGGUAGUC